AAACAUUUGCAUCUGGGAUGGAAAACUCUGCUCCUUGAUUUGUUUGUGAAAACUGUCUUUCAUGAAUAAGAGAUCAAACCUGAUGCAGCCUGAGCUGAGCCAGCCAGGAAGGGAAUGUGGUGAAUUAUAAAUCCUCCAAGAGAAGAAAAAAGUCUGCACAACUCUCUCAAGCAAAACCAUGACGACGAAGGAAGAACCUUCACCACCGGGGAGCCUAAACAAUGUGCUGCCCAGAGGCUGUCCUGCCAACAGGAAUGGAUCACGCCACUAAGUUCAACAACCACCUGGAUCAAAUAGAUUUCUGAAUUGGCCAGUUAUCUGACUAAACCAGGACUGGCUCACCACCCAGCUACAUCAGGACCAGCAAGUACCAGUUGGUGUGAAAGGUACAGAGGCAGAAGCAAUUGAGAACUCUGGGAGAUAGCCAAGUAGGGAUGAAUGGCAGCUCUUGACUGAGAACAUCUUCUGAAGUGACCCUGGUAGUAUGAAGUUAUUUUAAAUCUGUGAUAUCUCAUCUGUUUAGCAAUCAAAAAUGAGCUCGACGGCCCCUCCCAGACCGUAUAAUAGGCUGGCUGUUCAAGGAGCACUAGAGGUUUGCAGUUCAAGGCUCACACAGUGGUUCUGCUUCAUAAGAAAAUAGAGCAAAUCAAGAAAGAAACUGUGGAAAAGCCACUCUUUUUAGAAGUUGCCCGGAGAAUGCCAAGGCUCCCGGCGAGCUGCAGUCUGGAUGAGUGGCCGCGGGGUUCCGCCGGGAGACCCGCCUGCCCGAGCCAAGAGAAGCACAUUUCUUCCCACAAUGGGCUGCUUUCUUGUCUUCUCGCCUUCCCUGCCCUCUGUCCAGAAUCACCCUUGGUGCUGCCUCAUUUGGGGGUGCACCGGGCCCUUUGCCUCUCAUGUGGAUUUGAGGAAAUCGGAAGGAGCAGGGGAUUUGACUCUCCUUCAAAAAUCAAGAGCAAAUAACAUCUUCAAUUCCAGAAGUUUUCAAAUUUUUUUUUUUAAGCAGCAGCGAGAUGAGAGAAUUUCCCAAGGGAAUGGAGAUGCUCUAUAUCUCCACUGGGGUGCUGUCUGUAUGGGCAUAAGGAUUUGUCAAAAUCCAAUGAAUGUAUACUUAAUAUGUAUGCUUUUGAUGGUAUGUAAAUUGCGCUUCAAUAAAAC
rnacentral:lncRNA from 1 species